rnacentral:rRNA from 1 species
AACGAACGCUGGCGGCAUGCCUAACACAUGCAAGUCGAACGAGACCUUCGGGCCUAGUGGCGCACGGCUACGUACCGCGUGGGAACCUGCACUUAGGUUCGCUAUCACUCCCCGAAAGAGGUCCUCAUACCGCUUAAUGUAUUAGGACCAAAGAUCUAUCGCCUUUGGGUGGGGCCGCGUUGGUUUAGCUGGUUGGUAGGGUAAAAGCCUACCAAGGGGACGAUCCAUAGCUGGUCUGAGAGGAUGAUCAGCCACACUGGGACUGAGACACGGCCCAGACUCCGACGGGAGGCAGCAGUGGGGAAUAUUGGACAAUGGGCGAAAGCCUGAUCCAGCAAUGCCGCGUGAGUGAUGAAGGCCUUAGGGUUGUAAAGCUCUUUUACCCGGGAUGAUAAUGACAGUACCGGGAGAAUAAGCUCCGGCUAACUCCGUG